GCCGGGCACGGUGGCUCAUGCCUGUAAUCCCAACACUUUGGGAGGCUGAGAUGGGUGGAUCACCUGAGGUCGGGAGUUUGAGACCAGCCUGACCAACAUGGAGAAACCCCAUCUCUA
rnacentral:sRNA from 1 species